AGAAUCAACGCUGGCGGCGCGCUUAACACAUGCAAGUCGAACGAGAAAGUCCGCAAGGAUGAGUAAAGUGGCGCACGGGUGAGUAACACGUGGAUCAUCUGCCUCCGAGUGGGGAAUAACUCUGGGAAACCGGAGCUAAUACCGCAUAACACUGUGAGGUCAAAGCCGAAAGGCGCUUGGAGAGGAGUCCGCGGCCGAUUAGCUAGUUGGUAGGGUAGAGGCCUACCAAGGCGAUGAUCGGUA
rnacentral:rRNA from 1 species